rnacentral:rRNA from 1 species
UACAGAGGGGGCAAGCGUUGUUCGGAAUUACUGGGCGUAAAGGGCGCGUAGGCGGCCUGUUAAGUCGAACGUGAAAUCCCCGGGCUCAACCCGGGAACUGCGUCCGAUACUGGCAGGCUUGAAUCCGGGAGAGGGAUGUGGAAUUCCCGGUGUAGAGGUGAAAUUCGUAGAUAUCGGGAGGAACACCGGUGGCGAAGGCGGCGACCUGGGUAGAUACUGACGCUGAGGUGCGAAAGCGUGGGGAGCAAACAGG